AUGCUGUUAUCCAGGAGGCCCAGUGGUUAAGAGUCUGGGAUGCAGCAGAUCUGGGUUCAAGUGCUCUUUUCUUGACUUCCUGCAUGACUUUGGGCUCCAGGGUAUGGCCAUUGCCUAUCCUGUGUCACCAUUAUCACAGAGCUAAGGCACUAGCAGCUCACCCAAAAAUGCCUUGGGUACUGGACUGGGAUUUGAGAUAAUCUGGCUUCUCCUGCACUGCCACUGAGCUACUUUGUGACUUGUGUGCCUGUGACAGUUGGAUCCCAGUCGUGGUUAGUUACUUUGUGUGCUACAUGGUACAAAUAAUGAAUAGGUAGCUGGACUGCUCAGCACAAGGCGCGUUGGUACUGAUGACGAGAAAGAGGAGAAUUAGUUCUUAUUCCGACUCUUCUGAAGAUCUCAAGCCUCUCAAAGGUGGGGCAUUAGUGAUGCCAUUUGAAGAUGGGGCAAACGUGGUGCAGAUGUGCGGGAUGACCUGCCCAGGAAUCCCUGACUAGGGGGCCGUGAGGAAAUUUGGAAUUUCCACUUAGUAUUUAUUUCACUACACAAGGC